CGCCAGUUCUUUCAAGACUGCAAUGAAAUAGCUGAUCUUUGCGAUAGUGCAGAACUUAUCUUCUCAAACGAACCAACUGUAUUAUAGCUUAGAGCUCCUAUCAAAAUAUUUGGGGAUCUUAUGCGCCUUUUUGAUGAAUACGGUUAACAUUCCACAGCUGGAGACAUUUCAUACAUCGAUUACCUUUUCUUAGGGGACUAUGUUGAUAGGGGUCAACACAGUCUAGAAACAAUCUCCCUUCUCCUUGCAUUAAAGGUUGAGUACCAGCAUAAUGUACACCUGAUUCGAGGAAACCAUGAAGCUGCGGAUAUUAACGCUCUUUUUGGCUUCCGAGUAGAGUGUAUUGAGAGAAUGGUACUUGUUUCUAUGCCAUGUUUUGCUGUUCUCAUGAUGUUGUUGUUUGGCAGGUUUAACGCGAUGGAAUCUAGGUGUGGCAUCGAAUAAACCGUUUGUUUAAUUGGCUAUCUCUGGCUGCAUUGGUAGAGAAGAAAAUUAUAUGUAUGCAUGGGGGUAUUGGUCGUUGUAUAUAUCAUGUGGAGAAGAUUGAGAAUAUACAACGUCCAAUUACAAUGGACGCUGGCUCUAUUAUGCUCAUGGAUUUGUUAUGGAGCUGAACGCAAAUAGGCCAGCAACACUAACCAGAGGACGCCCACUAUAAACGACAAAGGAGGUUCUCUGGCUUCGAUGUAAGGUUGAAGAAGAGGCACUCGUGCACAUCUGCCUCCUGGUGUUUCACUUCAUGUUUGUGUGCAGAAAAGAUGAGGUCUGGAGAUAUCAGCGGCGGUGUAAAUUGAGAUGACAGAAAGGGUAGAAAAGUCAGUUUUGGUGGUGAUUUGGUAGUAGUGAUAUGUAGAGUUUAUUCUUUUUAGUCUCUUUCAAUUUUUACUCAAAUCUGUUUCCUAUAAUGUAUCUUUUUAUUUAUCUGUAUCAUAUAGACAUUGGGGCUUUUGUGUAUUUUUUUUUUUUUAUUAACUCAUAAUUUUGUAACGUUUGUGUUGAUAAUAUCAUGUUCAUGAGCGUUUU